GUGCUCACUGCGGCAGCACAUAUACUAAAAUCUGAACAAUACGGAGAAGGUUGGCUUGGCCGCUGCACAAGGAUGACCCGCAAAUUUGUGAAGCCUCCAUAUUUUCA